UCUGUGGGGUGGGGGCCCUCAGCCCAGAUUGUGAGAGGGCGCAGGCCAGGCUGAGGGACCCCACCUGUGCACA
rnacentral:pre_miRNA from 1 species